AACGUAGGAGGCAAGCGUUAUCCGGAGUAACUGGGCGUAAAGGGCGGGUAGGUGGUUGUGUAAGUUGGUUAUGAAAACUCCUGGCUAAACUGGGAGAGGUUGACCAAGACUGCAGAACUUGAGUGGAGAAGAGGUAAACGGAAUUCCGCGUGUAGUGGUGAAAUGCGUAGAGAUGCGGAAGAACACCAGUGGCGAAGGCGGUUUACUGGUCUCCAACUGACACUGAGCCGCGAAAGCAUGGGUAGCGAACGGG
rnacentral:rRNA from 1 species